UACGGAGGAUGCGAGCGUUAUCCGGGUUUAUUGGGUUUGAAGGGUGCGUAGGCGGGCUUUUAAGUCAGCGGUAAAAAUUCGGGGCUCAACCCCGUCCGGCCGUUGAAACUGGGGGCCUUGAGUGGGCGAGAAGAAGGCGGAAUGCGUGGUGUAGCGGUGAAAUGCAUAGAUAUCACGCAGAACCCCGAUUGCGAAGGCAGCCUUCCGGCGCCCUACUGACGCUGAGGCACGAAAGUGCGGGGAUCGAACAGG
rnacentral:rRNA from 1 species